GCAGGGGUAGCCAAGCCUGGCCAAAGGCGCAAGGCUUAGGACCUUGUCCCGAAGGGGUCCGUGCGUUCAAAUCGCACCCCCUGCACCA
rnacentral:tRNA from 1 species